GCGGCUUGGGGGGGGGUUGAGCAGGGAGCGGGCGCUGGAGGCGUGUUUGUAGGCAGAGGUGGCCGGGAGAGCCUGUGUGUGCGCGCACGGGGUGUGUGGGGACCGAGCUGCGUGACUGUCCACCCGACACCAGCCCCUGCUUUUGGCGAGCCCGGCCACCUGGUGAAGUGAAACCCGCCACCGCGCAAGCUCUCCGGCUGGCUGCGCCUCAGCUCCAGUGUAUGUGUUAAAUCAUGCCCAGCGUCAUAAAAAAUGGAGACAGCCAGGCUCCGUGUGAAAAACACAAUCCCCAAACAACCACAUGCUUAAAGAAGUUAGAAGAUGUCUCGUCCUCUCUGAGGCUCCACGGGCGCUCUUCCCACCCAGACAGACGGGAGCCCCCAAAGUGAUUCCUGAAAUGGACAAAAAAGGAAACACACAGCCUUCUCAGCCAAGCCCAGUGCUGCUCAGAGGGGUGGGACGGUGGCGAGGGAAGCGUGAGGGGGAGCAACUUACAGACUGUCUUCUCAGGGAGAUUUCUUUUGCUUCCCAGUUCUCCCUAUUCACAUGCUAUGGAGUUGAAAUUCCAACUUAAGGUGCCGUUUUGCCCAGGAGAUCCACGAGCCCUUCCGACAUCAGCAGGGCACGAAUCAGCCUGAGGACUGGACCGCCCCUCUCUGCACGCUCCAGGGAGGCAGCCGCAGACCCUCCCCUCCCGGCUACCGUCUCUCCCUAGAAAACAGCUGCUGGGCAAACCAUGUACACACUGCCCGUUUACCUGCUGUGGGAUCUUGGACAAGUUUCUUAACAUUUCUGUGCUUCGGUUUCCUCACCCAACAAAUGGAGAUAACAACAUUACCUACCGCAGAUUUGUUACAAGAAUUCAAUGCAAAUGCAUACAAAGAGCUUAGAAGAGUGCCUGCCACACAAUAAACCCUCCGGAAGUGUUAAAUAUCAUCGUCGUCGUGGUCUAUAUGAUAUUUAUCAUCAAGGUCAAUGACUGUCUUAUUUGCCUGCAUGUCCAGGUACUUCACAGAGUGUCUAGCGUGAAUAAACACUCAAUCAUCACUGAACCAAUGAAUAAAUGUACUCUUAAGCUAAUUCUUCCAGUGACAUUCCACUUUUCAGAAAACUUUAGAUUUAGAUUUAAAGAGAGGACCCGCACACGGAUGCCAAUGCUGAGGGAUCAACGGCUGAAGGUGGGCUCCCAGCGUCUCGGGGGAGGGUUCAGGGUGAGGGCUGGCUUUCAUGUCCAGACAGUCAGCUACGCAGAGUACAGCUCGCCUGGCCAGCAGCUCCUAGGGACUGUCCCUAAGGUAGAAGUUCCCUUCUAACUCUAACGCAACAGAACCGUAGAAGCCAGCCAGGAGGAAAGGAGACAGAGAAACGCUCCUCGCGGCCGGAACAAUAUUCCUGGGUCCUCCCUGGGCUCCAAGGCAUCACAACCUGCAGGGGGCCAACCAGACGAGCGAGGGGGGGUGGGGGGGAGCAGGGCCUUUCUUCCCUCUCCUUUCUGUUGGCAUUCUUUUAAAAUGGAUUCUUUCCGCAUGGUUCAAAAUGCAAGAGGUCCUAAAGUCUGCGUGUGGAAAGACCCUCUGUCAGCAGCCAUCCACAAGUCCCUGGCACAGCCCGUCUCCAGUAACCUGACACCUCCAGAGGCGUUUCAUGCCCCUUCAAGCCAACACGCCUAGUCUCCCUCCUUUACACAGAUGCCAAGCUUGCCUUACACAGCUAUGCGCCUUGAACUUCCCUUAAUAUAUUUUGGAGAUUAUUCGAUAUUAGUAUUCUUUUCGUGGCGACACAGUGUUCUAUUCUAAUAAAUUCAUUUGCUUCAC